CCUACGGGUGGCAGCAGUGGGGAAUAUUGCACAAUGGUGGAAACCCUGAUGCAGCGACGCCGCGUGAGUGAUGAAGUAAUUCGGUAUGUAAAGCUCUAUCAGCAGGGAAGCAAAUGACGGUACCUGAGUACGAAGCACCGGCUAACUACGUGCCAGCAGCCGCGGUAAUACGGAGGGGGCCAGCGUUAUCCGGAUUUACUGGGUGUAAAGGGAGCGUAGACGGCAGUGCAAGGCUGGAGUGAAAGGUGGGGGCUCAACCCACGGACUGCUCUGGAAACUGUACGGCUGGAGUGAAGGAGAGGUAAGUGGAAUUCCUAGUGUAGCGGUGAAAUGCGUAGAUAUUAGGAGGAACACCAGUGGCGAAGGCGGCUUACUGGACUGUAACUGACGUUGAGGCUCGAAAGCGUGGGGAGCAAACAGGAUUAGAUACCCCUGUAGUC
rnacentral:rRNA from 1 species